GCCCGCCCCUCCGAUUGGCUCACGCCCAGACGCCUUCCGAUUGGGCGAGGGCGACGAGCGGGUUCCCGCCCCGCCGCCCCCCAUUGGCUCCCCGCAGCUGCCAAUUAAUGUCUCUUCCUCCUCGCUGUUUGAUAUGAGCCAAGCUUCCAUUUUGCCUAAAGCACCGUCAAAGCUGGAAGCUCUCCCUCCCAGAACACCUAGACUUUAUUCAGCCUCAGCAUCAAAACAGACAUUCAUCCAUUUGCGUGGUGAAAUAAUGUUCAAACUUGUUCAACAGUUCAAAAGAACAGGGAUUCGGGUUUGUGACUUCCUGGGAAAGACCGUCUCCAGCCUUUAUCUUAGAAGAAAGGCUAACAGUUUACACAGCCCUACUGGUGGGCAUGCAGUUCUGACCACAAGGGACAGGCCAAGAAGCUUUUGGAAAAUAAAUAAAGAAAGAAAUGAAUAGACAGAUAGAUAAAUAAAUAAUCCUCCCUCCUUUUAGAUGAGUAUCCCAUGGUUAUUUUUAUUUUUAAUGCCAUCUAUUUUUAAAUGUGCUUCUUGUGUCCUCUGCUGUCCUCAGAAAUUUCACAUAUCCUUUUAAGUAAUAACAUUUUCUCUCAGAUUCUCUCAGAGCAAAUUUGAUUGCUCUUUCUUGGCUCUUGCUGUAACAUUCUGGCAUUCUCUUCAGCAUCUUUAGCUAAAAAAAAUACUAAGUGCUACAUGUUUACAGUUCUAAAGUAAACCCUGAACCAUAUUUUGAUUCCAAACGUAUUCCCAUUAGUGGUCAUUCAUGCCAAUCAAUGACAUGGAAUUUUAGAAUAUUAAAUUUAACCCUACUCAGUGAAUUAACUUUACUGCUUAACUGCCUGAUUUUCAUUGAACACAAUUCAUCUCACAGAAGACAUGCUUGUUUGAAAUACCCUUUAUUAUCUCCUUGUUUUCCAAAUUCGUGUCUUUGCUCGGUUUCAUACUAUCCUAAACUUUCCAUUUCACAACAGUUGCCUAUGAUUAUCUCAAACAUGAAUGACAUGCUUUUCAGGAGGUACAAAAUUGGUGAUUAAUUAAAGCAUAGAGGACUCUGUCAGUGAUUAUGUCAUCAAAACAUCUGGAAAAAAUCUGGCUGCAGACUACCCCGAGUAUGGUGAGUUUCUUGAAACUCACCUCAGCUCUGAUAGCUAACUUUUAAAGGCAUUUUUAGAAAGUAUUGCAUUAAAAAAACCAAAGCAACCAACAACCAAAAGUGUAAUGCAAGCAACUUCCUACUAGUCAGUAAAAGCAGUCUUUCCGAGACAGCCAUUUAUCUUCCUAUUUCCUCUUAAUAAUCAAAUGUUUUACCAAAAUUAUGACCAAAGGCAGCUUUUCUCAGCUCUACAUAUUUAUCUUCUGCAAGGAACACAGGAACAAAGUUGUUGUUUCUUUGCUAAGGAACUCUAGAGGUUCGCAUAGCCAGCUAAGGACAGCAGUGUUACAUUGUGAUACCCACAUACCAGAAGGCACAGUGUGCUUCCCACUGAACUGAAAGAUCGGAUGAGCUAUUUUUGUGCAGCAGGCACAAAAUGAGAGCUACCUUCUGGUUAUAGAUCCACACAUAUAAACUGAAGAGUAACUACUUUGGACACAGCAUCAGUUUAUACUGACAGAAUAAAGCUCCUUCCUUGAUGACAGAUAAAUGAGCUCUGCCUGACACAUUCUCCAGCUGAAGUGCAGCACAUAUCUCUUCUGUGAAAAGUCUACUGUUUUGCUGCAUUUACAGCAGGAAGUGAAUCCGGACAGGGACAUUUUAGGCAGAAGUUCUAUUGUAAAGCCAACAGCAACAAAAUAGCUUUAGGGAUAAUACUGUUUCUUCUAUUCUAGUUAAGUUCCUAAAGCCUCAUAAAGAAGCUAUUCUGUGGGAAUCUUAUUAAUGCCAUCCAUGUCAAAGAAUUAAUAGGGAGAAAGGUUAGUGCCCAGGAAGCAAGCCUCGGUAUUCAAUUCCAGCAAUAAGCUCCUUCUACACUGAUGCCAUUGUAACAACUCCCAUAGUUGUUUAGAGCCAGUCUAUUUAAUUCUUCAUACAAUACUGCCGUUAUAGCAGAGACCACUUAAGCAUAUGAGCUGCAAGACUUAGAAGCCCAUUUAUUCGAGCUUUGCUCAGCAAGUUAGAACAUUAGCCAAAGUGAGAACUUGGGAGUUUUUUUAUUUCUCAUUUAUUUUGUUCCAGUGAGACCCAAAACAAUUUCUUUAUCCUACAGUCAAAUGUGCUUUGAGUAUGAUUGGCCUAGGGCCAAAGUUAGCUACUCAGAACCCAUACUUAAACCCAUUUAGCUGCUCUCAAACAGAGGUAAAACAGCCUUUUCUCUUUUGGAAAUUUAGGCUUCAGCAAAAAGAACCACCUUACAUUCAAAUGAAGGUAUCCACACAAUGUUUAACAUUUCAUAUUGCACACAUUAACAGCAGACUUUACUUAACUCCCUUCAAAUCCUACAGUAGACACCCCCCUCCCCCCCCCAAAUAUGGUUUACAGAUCUGACUAAUGACCUCAGUUCCAACUGAUAGAUCAUGCUACACAUAGGCUGUUAUCAGUUUACACACCACUUUGUAGCAUUAUUUCUACCCUGCUACAGCAGUAGAUUUAUUUAGGAAGCACUGGAGAGAAAAGUUCAAGAUUUUAUUGCCGAACAUGAGACAAAAUUUUCCUUCCCAGUUUUUCAUCCUCACCAAAUAUUCACCUUUACCUUUUUAGGCCACGCACAAACAUCUCAUGACAUGAUGUUCACAUACUACCCUCCUCCUCCUGAAAGCUAUGACUGCUUUUGUUUCCUUCUCACCCCUGUCUCACAGACUGUAGACAAGUUGUUUCAUGCACAGAACAAACUCUCAGCGACCACAGAACACAGUUCUUUCUUUACUCAAAUUCCAGCAAAGAAGCAAUGUAUUUUUCAACAGAUCUUUCAGGGAAAAACAGAUAUCACAUAACAAUGUAGGUUCCUGCAUUUUAUUUUCAUGAGAACAUUCUACUUAUCUAUAGGAGGAGGCUUCAAGUUCUUUAUAGAAGAGGAAGACUUCCAGCUUGCUUCCAGUUGUUUUUUUUGUUUACUUGUUACUGAUAAUGAGAAAGGCGCUAAUAAUCAUCUGGUAUUUCAUGCCAUUUCAGUUUUGUUCCCUAAGACUUCUCUUGCAUACACAGUUUUUGCAAUGUAUUAAAAGUGAUAACACAGUUAAGUCUUCGAACUUCAAUGUCUACAAAGAGCCUGUUGGAAAAGAGCCUGCUAUAUCUAAUCACUGGUCCAUUGUGUUUAAAAAGAGAAUGGGGUGAGAUCAGGAAGAUGGGGUCACUAUGUCUGCAGUCUCUUUGACUUCUUGUUCUUUAAAGAAUGCUGCAUUAUCCAAUCCACAUUUGUGUCUGCAGUAUAAAUUGCCAAUAGAUUGGUUAGACACAACAACUGUGUAAAAUGCUAUAUCAACAUUUGAAAUCUAAAUUCUAUGUUUUUUAUUACUACAUAGUGAAAAUUUCAUAUCAGAACUGUUGUUUUUUACCUCUUCCAAUUGGUAAUAGUACUGUUUUGAUACUGAGGCAGUAAUGAUAACUUUUGAAAUAUCUAGCAGAUAUUUCAUCCUCACAUAAGGCGUUUGAAAUCUCCUUUCCCACUACUACAAGUGGCCAGAGAGAAGCAUUUGCCUGUUCCAAAUUGAUAGCUCUGCUACAAAAAUAUUGUCUGCAUAAAAUACUGCUCCUGAAAUGUGUGAAUGAAAUAGAAAUGAGA